rnacentral:tRNA from 1 species
GCCGGAGUGGCGGAACUGGUAGACGCACACGACUCAAAAUCGUGCGAAAGCAAUUUCAUGAGGGUUCGAGUCCCUCCUCCGGCACCA